rnacentral:other from 15 species
GUUAACUGCCGUGUAGGCAGCUAAGAAA